rnacentral:rRNA from 1 species
UAGGGAAUCUUCCACAAUGGACGCAAGUCUGAUGGAGCAACGCCGCGUGAGUGAAGAAGGCUUUCGGGUCGUAAAACUCUGUUAUUGAAGAAGAACGUGUGUGACAGUAACUGGUCAUGCAGUGACGGUAUUCAAUCAGAAAGUCACGGCUAACUACGUGCCAGCAGCCGCGGUAAUACGUAGGUGGCAAGCGUUGUCCGGAUUUAUUGGGCGUAAAGCGAGUGCAGGCGGUCUUUUAAGUCUGAUGUGAAAGCCUUCGCUUAACCGAAGAAGGGCAUCGGAAACUGG